GGGCGAUUAGCUCAGUUGGGAGAGCACCUGCCUUACAAGCAGGGGGUCACUGGUUCGAGCCGGUAUCGCCCACCA
rnacentral:tRNA from 1 species